GGCGGUGUGCUUCACACAUGCAAGUCGAACGAGGUAGCAAUACCUAGUGGCGGACGGGUGAGUAACGCGUAGGAAUCUGCCUUUAGAUGGGGGAUAGCAGGCCGAAAGGCCUAUUAAUACCGCAUAUGUGUAUUUCUCGACAGAGUUAUACAUGAAAAGAGUAAUCUGUCUAAAGAUGAGCCUGCGUCCGAUUAGCUAGUUGGUAGGGUAAAGGCCUACCAAGGCGACGAUCGGUAGGUGGUCUGAGAGGAUGAUCACCCACAAUGGGACUGAGACACGGCCCAUACUCCUACGGGAGGCAGCAGUGGGGAAUUUUGUGCAAUGGGGGAAACCCUGACACAGCGACACCGCGUGAGCGAAGAAGCCCCUUGGGGUGUAAAGCUCUGUCGGCUGGGACGAAAAAAAUGACGGUACCAGCAGAGGAAGCAUCGGCUAACUACGUGCCAGCAGCCGCGGUAAGACGUAGGAUGCGAGCGUUGUCCGGAUUUAUUGGGCGUAAA
rnacentral:rRNA from 1 species